AACGAACGCUGGCGGCAUGCCUAACACAUGCAGGUCGAACGAGAUCUUCGGGUCUAGUGGCGCACGGGUGCGUAACGCGUGGGAAUCUGCCCUUUGGUUCGGAAUAACAGUUGAAAACGACUGCUAAUACCGGAUGAUGACGAAAGUCCAAAGAUUUAUCGCCAGAGGAUGAGCCCGCGUAGGAUUAGCUAGUUGGUGUGGUAAAGGCGCACCAAGGCGGCGAUCCUUAGCUGGUCUGAGAGGAUGAUCAGCCACACUGGGACUGAGACACGGCCCAGACUCCUACGGGAGGAAGCAGUGGGGAAUAUUGGACAAUGGGCGAAAGCCUGAUCCAGCAAUGCCGCGUGAGUGAUGAAGGCCUUAGGGUUGUAAAGCUCUUUUACCCGGGAUGAUAAUGACAGUACCGGGAGAAUAAGCUCCGGCUAACUCCGUGCCAGCCGCCGCGGUAA
rnacentral:rRNA from 1 species